rnacentral:rRNA from 1 species
GAUGAACGCUAGCGGCAGGCUUAACACAUGCAAGUCGAGGGGCAGCAUAAUGGAUAGCAAUAUCUAUGGUGGCGACCGGCGCACGGGUGCGUAACGCGUAUGCAACCUACCUUUAACAGGGGGAUAACACUGAGAAAUUGGUACUAAUACCCCAUAAUAUCAUAGAAGGCAUCUUUUAUUGUUGAAAAUUCCGAUGGUUAGAGAUGGGCAUGCGUUGUAUUAGCUAGUUGGUGGGGUAACGGCUCACCAAGGCGACGAUACAUAGGGGGACUGAGAGGUUAACCCCCCACACUGGUACUGAGGCACGGACCAGACUCCUACGGGAGGCAGCAGUGAGGAAUAUUGGUCAAUGGACGCAAGUCUGAACCAGCCAUGCCGCGUGCAGGAUGACGGCUCUAUGAGUUGUAAACUGCUUUUGUACGAGGGUAAACGCAGAUACGUGUAUCUGUCUGAAAGUAUCGUACGAAUAAGGAUCGGCUAACUCCGUG